UUGUCAUACUUCCAAGAAAAGCUUGCACUGUCAUAAACAAAUAAUGCCUGUACCAUAACCGACACAGGUGGGUAGGUAGAGUAUACUAAGGGGCGCGAGAUAACUCUCUCUAAGGAACUCGGCAAAAUGACUCCGUAACUUCGGGAGAAGGAGUGCCUUCUUUAGAAGGUUGCAAUAACAAGAUCCAAGCAACUGUUUACCAAAAACACAGGUCUCCGCUAAGUCGUAAGACGAUGUAUGGGGGCUGACGCCUGCCCAGUGCCAGAAGGUUAAAGAAGUUGGUUAGCAUUCGCGAAGCUGAUAACUGAAGCCCUGGUGAACGGCGGCCGUAACAAUAACGGUCCUAAGGUAGCGAAAUUCCUUGUCGGGUAAGUUCCGACCCGCACGAAAGGCGUAAUGAUUUGGAUACUGUCUCGGAGAGGGACUCGGUGAAAUAGACUUGUCUGUGAAGAUGCGGACUACCUGCACCUGGACAGAAAGACCCUAUGAAGCUUUACUGUAACUUGAAAUUGAAAUUGGACUUUAUUUGCGCAGUAUAGGUGGGAUGCUUUGAGAAUAAUCUUGCGGGAUUACUGGAGCUAUCAGUGAGAUACCACUCUUGUAAUGUUAGAUUUCUAACUUUGGAUCAUUAUCUGGUCAAAGAACAGUUUCAGGCGGGCAGUUUGACUGGGGCGGUCGCCUCCCAAACGGUAACGGAGGCGCACAAAGGUUUCCUCCGAACGGGUAGAAAUCGUAUCUAGAGUGUAAAGGCAUAAGGAAGCUUGACUGUGAGACCUACAAGUCGAGCAGGGACGAAAGUCGGUCUUAGUGAUCUGACGGUGCUGAGUGGAAAGGCCGUCACUCAACGGAUAAAAGUUACUCUAGGAUAACAGGCUGAUCUCCCCCAAGAGUUCACAUCGACGGGGAGGUUUGGCACCUCGAUGUCGGCUCAUCGCAUCCUGGGGCGGUAGUACGUCCCAAGGGUUGGGCUGUUCGCCCAUGAAAGCGGUACGCGAGCUGGGUUCAGAACGUCGUGAGACAGUUCGGUCCAUAUCCGGUGUAGGCGUUAGAAUAUUGAGAGGAGCCUUCUCUAGUACGAGAGGACCGAGAAGGACAUACCUCUGGUGUACCAGUUAUCGUGCCAACGGUAAACGCUGGGCAGCUAUGUAUGGAGUGGAUAACCGCUGAAAGCACCUAAGUGGGAAGCCCACCUCAAGAUAAG
rnacentral:rRNA from 1 species